AUUUAACGCUGGCGGCAGGCUUAACACAAGCAAGUCGAACGAGUGGCGGACGGGUUAGUAAUGCUUGGGAAUCUAGCUUAUGGAAGGGGAUAACUACGGGAAACUGUAGCUAAUACCGCGUACAAGAGGAUGAGCCCUAGUGGGAUUAGGUUGUUGGUGAGGUAAAGGCUCACCAAGCCGACGAUCUCUAGCUGGUCUGAGAGGAUGACCAGCCGCACUGUGACUGAGACACGGCCCAGACUCCUACGGGAGGCAGCAGUGGGGAAUAUUGCGCAAUGGGUGAACCCUGACGCAGCCAUGCCGCGUGAAUGAAGAAGGCCUUAGGAUUGUAAAGUUCUGUCGGGAGAGAGGCGUUAACUACAGAAGAAGCACAGGCUAACUCCGUGCCAGCAGCCGCGAUAAUAC
rnacentral:rRNA from 1 species